GACGAACGCUGGCGGCGUGCUUAACACAUGCAAGUCGAACGAAGUGGCGAACGGGUGAGUAACGCGUAAUCAACUGCCUAUUAGAGGGGGAUAACUAUUGGAAACGAUAGCUAAUACCGCAUACUAGUAGAUGGACCUGCGUGGUAUUAGUUAGUAGGUAGGGUAAUGGCCGACCUAGGCGGCGAUACGUAGCGGACCUGAGGGGGGGAUCGGCCACACUGGGACUGAGUGACGGCCCAGACCCCUACGGGAGGCAGCAGUAGGGAAUCGUCGGCAAUGGGGGGAACCGUGACCGAGCAACGCGGCGUGAGUGAAGAAGGUUUUCGGAUCGUAAAGCUCUGUUGUUAAGGAAGCGGUACUUAACCAGAAAGGGACGGCUAACUACGUGCCAGCAGCCGCGGUAAUAC
rnacentral:rRNA from 1 species